CCUCUCUCCCCUCUCUGCCUCAGAGGAUCUGCAGUUUCAAAAAGCCGAUUGAGCACGGCGUGAGGCUGACGACCGGGGGGGGGCUACUACCGCCACUAGAGAGCAGUCCUCGUUCCGUGCCCCGCAAGGAGGAGCCCCAGUGGAACCCACAGCGCAUCGCAUCCCCGCUUUCCCCCCCAUAUCCCCAGCAUCUCGCACUCCCCGUGGAUGUCACCAGCAUCGCUGUUUCAGGGCUGGGGAUGGUACUCCCAGCUCAGCCGGGCGCUUUCAUUCAUAAAAUUGCAAGAUUGCAUCCAUGAAUGUGUGCAUAAUGAACCCAGAAGGAAUGCGGCACUAAAAGAAGCCUUUGUAAUGUUGCUAUUUUAAGGAGACCCUUGGGUAUGGCACGUGUUGAACUGAGUUUCUCUAACAUCUUACAACAAACCAAAAUGUUUAGAUCCUCCCACUGAUGUAAAACAUCAUAAAAAAAUACAUAAUCAAUCUAAACUGGCUAUGGUUUUGACCAGGAAUUAUUGCUCUUGUGAAUUGGCUCUGUAUUGUACCUAACUUUUACAUGGCCUAAUAAUAAACAUCUCCUCCUCCCAGCUGGAUGAAUGUUUCCCUUCUGGUGGAGAUGAGAUCCCAGCCUGGAUAAAACACCUCUUGUCCUUUCUCUUCUGGGUCACUCAGGUUCAGUGAAACAUCACGACUUACAUCAGCCAAAGCCUUUGAUCAGGGGAGGGAAAGGUCUGACAUGGAUGGGGUUGACAGCCACGCUGCAAAAAUCCCUCAUUGUGCAAGAAGCCAGUCCAAUGACCAAGUGUCACCAAGGGUGAGACAGCCUUUUCUGCUCUGUUUUCACUUGGCUAUUGCUGGUGUUUUGUUUGCAAAGUCAAGGCCAAAAUAUACAAGCAGCAGCUUUGGACACGUUGCGUUUGUGCAUUUAGCCAGAUAGCCAUGAUGAAUUUCUGGCCAUUUUUGUUACAUGUGUUGUAAAGAGCAGAAUUUUGUUGUCAACAUUCUAUUUUUACAUGGUCAGAGAGGAGAAGGAGUAGAAUAGAGGUGUAAUUGACACUGUUUAUACAAAGCUGAAGUCGUAACUCUUGGCUGAGAUGACUGGAAGCGGUGUGUGAUGGCUUCUUUGUUGGCUCUUUAAGAAAACAUCUGCUCUGGGUCUCGUGGACAAAACCCAGGGUGAAAAAUUCUCACACUGCAAACUGAGAAGCCAGAUGAAAAGCCCAGAGAAGCUGUGGAUGCUCCACCUCUGGAGGUGCUCAAGGCCAGGUUGGAUGGGGUUCUGGGUUGCCUGAUCUGGUGGGUGGUAAACCUGCUCAUAGACCAGGGUUAGGACUGGAUGACCUUUGAGGAUGUUUUCAGCCUAAGCUGUUCUAUGGCUUUCUCCAUUAGCAUCCAGCACUCAAGGAACAGGGCUGCUUUGGAAAUGAAUGUCAGAAUAAGGAAAAUAGGCUUUUUGUACUCACAAAAAUCAAAUGCUCAAGAAGAAUGAGGGUGAGAGUCAAAGCUAUUAAAACACUUCCUGGGACAGUAUUUUGGUUUUCAGCAGCUUUCUCUUCUGUUUUGUUUCAAUUUCUUCUAAACCCCAUCCUCCGAGUGGUAUGAAAUAAAAAAUAGUAAUAAAUAGAUUUUUCUGUACAGGAAAAAUUCAAAAAUAAAUAAAUGAAUAACAUUUUAAUUACAUUUUUCUGCAAAGGCUCUUUACUUCUUUAAGUACACAGAAAUGCUUAUGAUAUGUGGUCAUAGAUGGGGUCAUAGAUGUGGUCAACUCCUCUAAUGCCCUACAGUAUGGUUUACAACGUGAUUCAGUAAAUGGGGCAAAGUCAACACGGUGGGGCUGGGUGCCCUACAUGAGAAGAUGCAGAGAAUGUGUCAGAAAGAAGAUCACAGAGCUGUAAAUGGUUUGGGAAAAGAGAGAGAUGAGGCAUGUGGGGUUGAGGUCUUGGGUUAAGGUAGACAAAGGACUGUAGGAGGUGACAGAUGAACCCAAAGGCAUUUUGCAUCUGAAGCAGGCCAGAUGGGCUAACAAAGUCAGCAGUAGAACACAGUUGUCAGUGGCUUCAGACAGUGACCUCUAGAUGAAACAAACUGUACAAAAGGAGCUCAGGGUAUGCAAGUAGGUGAAGGACAAUCCUCAUCAGCAAUAGGCUUGGCAUCCAUUUGGUUGUGUUUUCAUACAGAUAAGGUGGGGCAGACAGGCUCUACAAAGCAACAUGUGCUCUUGCCUUAUCCCAUCUCUGUUAUUCUCCUUGCUGUAGGCUGAUGCUUUGGACCCAGAUAAACCAAGUGGAAUGGAGAUCAGAGCCCUGGGUUUUUCCCUGCAGAGCAGCAACUGGUGCCAUUUCUGGCUUAUACUCUAUUUUUCUCUUCCUAGUGAGGGACUUUUGUUAUUUAUCAGCUCCUUCUUUCAAAACAGCAACCUGGAAAAUUUCACAACACUUUUCAGAUAUGGCUACUCUGCCUGUGGCUCUCCACAGCUUAGCUGUUUCAGUGAUAUCUGCAGAGCAACGAGCAACAGCAUUCCUGUCCUAAAGGAGAAGUGAGUGCCUCAAACCUCCUCACUUUUCUCCAUAUGCUUUUUUUGCUCCUAAAAAACCCCAGGCCUCUCUCUCCGUUCCUGCCAGUCACAUGGCAGACCGGAUGUCCCUAGCAGCACACCUGGGCUUGAAUCGAUCUUUCUUCUUUUUCUGUGUGUGUGUGUUGUCAUUCAAUGCAUGGCCAGAACCAAGGGCAAACUCCAGUUGGGAGAUUUCUUUUAGAGCCUGUGGGAAAGGGCCUGAAGCUGGGUGUACUGCAGGAUAGAGCAGCAUCAACUGCACAUCUGGAGGGACCCUCGAGACUGCGACUUUCGCUGCCAGAUAAAGCCUUCUUUGUAAGUAGUAAUUGGUUCUAUCUUUUAUUUUCAUGAUUUUUAGUUUCCAUUUCCAUCACCAUCACUAAUUAAUUAAUUGGCGUGUUUAUUUAUUCAUUUUCAUUUACUUUCUAUUCCGGAGAUCAGACUGGAGCAAUCAGCCCCCACCUGAUACCAGGCAGGGUGCAAAACAGGAUGUCAGAAGCCAGAGCCUGCUUAUCGAUAGCUGUGAGAGAUCCUUGCUGAGUCAGAUAGGGGAAGGAUGAGAUAAUUUCUGAUGUUUUUUUUCUUUUUUUCUUUAAUCAUAUUUAUUUAUUUACUUGUUUGUUUAUUUUGCAGUUGCUGAGCUUGUAACCUGUUCCCUGGUACCGUACGCCAGCACGUAUCAUCUUGCCCUCAUAAAGCUUUGUUGAUCUCCAUCCAACUCGUUGGACUGAGCGUGUGGGAAGCAUGUGAGGGACUCUCAUGAGCAGCCUCACGUUCUCUGAGCUGCUUUUUCCCCUGGGGCUAAAGCUUUCCCCAAAGUGCUCAGUCCAUUUCAGCUCAGAGGUGAUGGCCUGAAACCUGCAGAGCUGGUGGUGAGAUGGGAACAAGCUCUCUUUGUGAGGCUGCUCCAGCUUGCUGGGUGCACUGAAUGAAAUCUUUCAUUCGGUUCCUCAGAGAGUACAGGAAGAUCCUCAGCUUU